rnacentral:lncRNA from 1 species
AUUGAAAAAUAUUCAUAAAAUUUUAGUCUCAUAUAUUCCUUUACUUUCACAUUCAGCUUUCACUGGCACUUUUGUUCGACGGAAGACACACCCCGAGCAGCUCCCUCACAAUCUUCAAGAAAUAUUCCUAGACGCAACUCUUCUGUAAGUAUUUGAUCUGUCUGUGCCAUAAAUUAAAUGACGUUCAGAAUAAAGACUUUGAAUCUUGGUUUCGCAGUUUGAAUGUGCCUUUAGUCAGCGCCCUUUGGAGAAAGCGCAAUAAAGCCUAUUUCACACAUACUCCGUCUGCCGUGCGUAUUUUAGUUUUUUCACAACGCACACGGUUGCGGUCCGUCAGUUGUUCCAGGAGCAGUGCAGCGAUCGUUUCUGUUCGAUUUUUGCUCUAAACCAGAGGUCGGGAACCUAUGGCUCGUGAGCCACAUCUGGCUCUUUGACAAAAAUCAUGUUGUCACAUUCCACUUUCAAAAUAUAAAGAAAAAAGUAUACACGUGUAAAAUAAAUGUAAAACAAAGAAAGCCAAAAAGUGUUAGGUUGUGCCCUGCUCUCCCCUACACUUAUGUGUACGUGCAGCAUGACGUUAUCUGCCCCUACAAGGCACACGCAGAACUCGUUUUACAGGACUCUACCCGAGCAGCUCAUUUCCUCACAAUCUUCAAGAAACAUCUCGAGUCGGAACCCUUUCAACUUUGGCAGGAUAUGGGUUCAACUGGUUCCACAAAGGGUUCAACUGGUUCCACAAUGGGUUCAACUGGUUCCACAAUGGGUUCAACUGGUUCCACAAUGGGUUCAACUGGUUCCACAAUGGGUUCAACUGGUUCCACAAUGGGUUCAUCUUUUGGCCCAUUCAGUUCAAUUUGGGCAAGAUAUACACAAGCUGUGCAGGAGAAAGAACGAUACAAGAAGGAAUUGAAUGCUUUUAAGAUGAGAGAAGAAGAAAAGAAGGAACUAGACAAGAGGAACAGAUCUAAAGAGGAAGAAGAAAGGAAAAGAAUUCACAAAGAAAAAAACAAUGAAAAAGACAUCAAACAACACAAUGUGUGAUGUACAACACUAGUGCCUUUUAAAAUAGUUCACAGAGAUUGUUUAAACUGCAAGAUGCUUUGUAUUCAUCACGUGGGGUUACUAGCCGUAAUUGUGCAGUAUUUUGUAGCAUUCUUUCUUGCUGUUGAAAGUGAUGGCAUAAAUCGUUAUGUUUAUCUUCUGUAUGUUUCUAUAACUCCAGAUUACAGAUUAAAAUGACCAUCCUUACAGAUCUUCAUCUUUUAUAAUGUGUUAUUGAGCUGUAUUGCUGUCACAUAAGAGCAUACUUAUGUUAUUUCCCUUUUGCACUGCCUUAACAACAUUAAAUAAUGAAUAAAUCACUCAUUUAUCUAGAAACCCA